UUUUGUUUCAUCCAGCCGUAAUUAUUUUAUUUUUAUAUUAGUUACUUGUUAACGCAUUAAGCAAGAGCGACUCACUAGUGAAACUUCGACGUGAUGCCUAAAGACUGGACCAUGCAACACGAGAAUAUAAAAGACCAUGGUUAAAAUAUAUAAUUUAACCAUGCCAUAGAUUCAUUAAAUAUCUUUAACAAAAGCGGAAAUCACAAUUUUGAAAAAUAUAAUAGGACACCCACGUGUUGGAACAACUGUAUUUUGAGAUACAUCCAAUUCAUAAACCUUUUGAUCUACUAACAUCUAGUUCAGUCCAAAGUCUUCUGUUAGUUUGUGCACCAUCGGAAACAAUAUCCACUUUUACACCAUUAUAAUUCUCUAAUAAAGAAAUUGCUUUAAUAAUUAAUUGCACAAUGAAAUACACCUUCUACUGUGCCAGUAGAUGUGAAAAUAGCUACAGGUUGUCAAAAAUUGACAGACAAGCUUUGAAACAUAAAUACCAAACCAUGGUAACUGAAAAAACUGAUCAUCCAAUCCACAAGAGGACUUAAUACAUGAUAAAUAUAUUUUCACAGUAUGAGAGCAUUGUAGAGGAAUAACAUUUUGGUCACACAAAAAUAUAUAA